GCCGAAUUAGUUUAAUGGCAAAACAGGGCAAUGGUAAUGCCCAGCUCGGGGUUCAAUUCCCCGAUUCGGCACCA
rnacentral:tRNA from 3 species